GGGGCGCCUAAUACAUGCAGUCGAGCGGACAGAUGGGAGCUUGCUCCCUGAUGUUAGCGGCGGACGGGUGAGUAACACGUGGGUAACCUGCCUGUAAGACUGGGAUAACUCCGGGAAACCGGGGCUAAUACCGGAUGGUUGUUUGAACCGCAUGGUUCAAACAUAAAAGGUGGCUUCGGCUACCACUUACAGAUGGACCCGCGGCGCAUUAGCUAGUUGGUGAGGUAACGGCUCACCAAGGCAACGAUGCGUAGCCGACCUGAGAGGGUGAUCGGCCACACUGGGACUGAGACACGGCCCAGACUCCUACGGGAGGCAGCAGUAGGGAAUCUUCCGCAAUGGACGAAAGUCUGACGGAGCAACGCCGCGUGAGUGAUGAAGGUUUUCGGAUCGUAAAGCUCUGUUGUUAGGGAAGAACAAGUACCGUUCGAAUAGGGCGGUACCUUGACGUACCUAACCAGAAAGCCACGGCUAACUACGUGCCAGCAGCCGCGGUAUACGUAGGUGGCAAGCGUUGUCCGGAUUAUUGGGCGUAAGGGCUCGCAGGCGGUUCUUAGUCUGAUGUGAAGCCCCGGCUCACCGGGGAGGUCAUUGAAACUGGGAACUUGAUGCAAAGAGAGAGGAAUUCCACGUGUACCGUGAAUGCGUAAAAUGUGGAGAACACAGUGGCGAGGCAACUCUCUGGUCUGUAAUGACCUGAGAGCAAAGCGUGGGAGCAACAGGAUAAAUACCUGGUAUCCACCCGUAACGAGAGUGCUAGUGUAGGGGUUUCCCCCCUUAGUGCUGCAGCUAAGCAUAAGCACUCCGCCUGGGAGUACGUCCCAAGACUGAAAUCAAGGAAUGACGGGGCCCCCAAAGCGGGGAACAGGUGGUUAAUUCGAAGCAACCGAAGAACCUACAGGUCUGACUCCUCUAACAAUCCUAGAGAUAGGACGUCCCUUCGGGGCAGAGUGACAGGUGGUGCAUGGUUGUCGUCAGCUCGUGUCGUGAGAUGUUGGGUUAAGUCCCGCAACGAGCGCAACCCUUGAUUUUAGUUGCCAGCAUUCAGUUGGGCACUCUAAGGUGACUGCCGGUGACAAACCGGAGGAAGGUGGGGAUG
rnacentral:rRNA from 1 species